rnacentral:tRNA from 1 species
GGGAAUAUAGUUCAGUGGAACAACACUUGCCUGGCAUGUUCAAGAUCCUGGGUUCUCUUCUCAGUACUUCCA